AACGCACAUUGCGCCCUAUGGUAUUCCGUAGGGCAUGCCUGUCUGAGCGUCAACUCCCACCCUCUCAAGUCUUUCUUUUGCUAGGAGAUUUGGAUUGCUUUGAGGAAGUAUCAUUUUUUUUAUGCUGCUCCUCAGAAAUUUAUAGGCAGUAUGGUCAAACCUGAACCAGGCGUAAUAAUUCUAUAAAAUCGUCUAAUGAAAGGAAAGUCUGUAUUAGUCUUUAACCAAUUUCUAUUUUUUUUUUUGGGUGACCUCAGAUCAGGUAGGGAUACCCGCUGAACUUAA
rnacentral:misc_RNA from 1 species